GUUGACUACUCCCACCUAAGCUCUGCUUAGGAAGGAGCCUGAAAGGGUUCCGAUCCGGGAGCGGGAGACUAGCCUUGGCGAUGUCCCCUCGGGAGUGGGGGCAGAUGAGCUACGUUCGGGGCUGAGUGUUCGAAAAGCACUUGUGGAUGCCUCCCAAGUCCGCAACUCUGCA
rnacentral:sRNA from 30 species